UCCCAGCUGGCUCAGUCGGUGGAGCGCAUGGCUCUUGAUCUCAGGGUUGUGGGUUCAAGCCCCAUGCUGGGUG
rnacentral:tRNA from 1 species